rnacentral:lncRNA from 1 species
UGGAGGCUGGAUUGUGGAGCCUGCUGCGUUUGUUAUUUGCAAGUAGAUAUUCUGCACGUGAAUGAAAUGUAAGUUAAUCAAACAGUUUCCAUCAUAUAAACCUGAAAUGCCUGGCAUCUAAGAGCGCAUGCAUGUUUUUAUCUGAUUGUCUUUACAAAUUACAAGUCAAGUUUAAGUUAUCGAAACAAGUCAUACCUCGUAGGGCCUCAGACGCAAUCCGGACUUCAGCUGGUCCCUCAAAUCACCAAAAUUGUGAAGGAUCUCAGAUAUUGAGCUGUUGAGUGUAAAAUUGAAGAGGGGCUCGGGAGGUUUCGAAAAGGAACCAUACUGGAGCGGAAUUAUAGUGAUCCCCCCAGGAAACUUAAGAAUUUCAAAAUCAUAUGGCUCCCCAAAUACUGAGGUGUUUACAGAGAGAUUUAUCUGCUUAAGGAACAACUCAACUAACGCGGUCCUCAGCAUAAUUACGUGUGCUGGAUUUACUGGGGCAUUCAUCGGAUUAGAAAGUAUGCCAAAAACCCCAUCUGUCCAGUUGGAUGUGCCAUUUUGAUGUAUCGACAGCAUAGCCACCUGAAAAGUAAUGCAUUGCCUUUCAGGUCAACUCUUAGCUAACUGAGAAAUGCAUUACAAAUUACCACUACAACAGCAUGAAACAGACCUUCAUAUCAGGGAAGUUUAUUUCUUUGAAAAUGUCGCUCUCUAAUCCUUCCAUAUGUGGAACCACAUCUGAAACUGGCUUUGGAAGUUUGAAGUACGCCUGUGCAGUGGCUGAAAACAAGUAAUUGGUAUUAGCACAACAAAAAACUAUCAACCCACAAAUGAACGGCCCAGAACUACAGUUUAAAUAGGAGAUUGUGAUAUCCCACAGUAAAAUUGCACAAAAAAAACUCAAAGUCCAUGAAGUUAAAGCACGAGAGUCUUUCAGAGAUUCAAUUUAAUAAAAAAGAGCAAUGCAAUCGUUCUUUACAGAACCAAAACUCAUGGCAAGUCCAUAAAAAAGGUUUUGCACAUCCUUUGCCAAAUAAGAAGAAAAAUGAACUACCACAUCACAGAUAUAUUGAAGAACAGUGCUAGAGAACGGAAGUAAAGUACCUACAAAACAGCGGCCUACUAAUCGUUUUUCAUGGACACAAAUUUAAUAUAAGCUGGGAACUUUAAACAUAAAACAUCAUACCAGUAACACAAUGGUCAAGUGAUCUGAACUUCAGAACCACAGACGCAACUACAGACACAAAAAAAAAACCCCAGGAAACUUAAGAAUUUCAAAAUCAUAUGGCUCCCCAAAUACUGAGGUGUUUACAGAGAGAUUUAUCUGCUUAAGGAACAACUCAACUAACGCGGUCCUCAGCAUAAUUACGUGUGCUGGAUUUACUGGGGCAUUCAUCGGAUUAGAAAGUAUGCCAAAAACCCCAUCUGUCCAGUUGGAUGUGCCAUUUUGAUGUAUCGACAGCAUAGCCACCUGAAAAGUAAUGCAUUGCCUUUCAGGUCAACUCUUAGCUAACUGAGAAAUGC